rnacentral:rRNA from 1 species
GAUGAACGCUGGCGGCGUGCCUAAUACAUGCAAGUCGAGCGAACAGUCGAGGAGCUUGCUCCUCUGACGUUAGCGGCGGACGGGUGAGUAACACGUGGAUAACCUACCUAUAAGACUGGGAUAACUUCGGGAAACCGGAGCUAAUACCGGAUAAUAUAUUGAACCGCAUGGUUCAAUAGUGAAAGACGGUUUUGCUGUCACUUAUAGAUGGAUCCGCGCCGCAUUAGCUAGUUGGUAAGGUAACGGCUUACCAAGGCGACGAUGCGUAGCCGACCUGAGAGGGUGAUCGGCCACACUGGAACUGAGACACGGUCCAGACUCCUACGGGAGGCAGCAGUAGGGAAUCUUCCGCAAUGGGCGAAAGCCUGACGGAGCAACGCCGCGUGAGUGAUGAAGGUCUUCGGAUCGUAAAACUCUGCUAUUAGGGAAGAACAAAUGUGUAAGUAACUAUGCACGUCUUGACGGUACCUAAUCAGAAAGCCACGGCUAACUACGUG